rnacentral:tRNA from 1 species
GAGCCCGUAGCUCAGGGGUAGAGCAUCUGACUUUUAAUCAGAGGGUCAUGGGUUCAAAUCCCAUCGGGCUCACCA